UAAACAGAUAUUUGCACUUGUUUUUAUAAUCACAAUCUAACAUGUAUUUAUAACGAUUUAAACAUAUAAGCACCCAAGUACACUGUCAAUGUCUGUGAUAAUAUUUGAUUCAGCAUGAAACACAUUUAUCCCAAAUGGGAGUGCUCCGAUAUAAAUAGAAAACAGAAGCAAAUACCUGUACAGAACAAAACAUUGGUUUCCUUCCCCCUUACUUAGAUUCCCUAUCAAAAUAUGUUCGUUGUUAGAAAUAAACUUCAAAGAACUUCGGAAAGAAAUGCCUUCAACUGCAAUAUGCAGGCGAUACAAAACUAUCUAUACCCCCUGCAUGUUUAUGCACCUGUCCUGAUUGAUUCAGGGGCCUGUCGUUCAGCAGUUAGAUAUCGUUCGUUGAUGUUCAUAAAUAUUAUUUGGUAUUUUCCCGUUUGUAUAUGUAUAAAUUAGAUCGUUGGUUUGUGUACACUUAUAAUUUUGGGGUCCCUUAUAGCUUGCUGUUUGGUCUAGGUCAAAGCUCUGCCGUACGUACUAUGACCUGUAUUUGCUAU
rnacentral:lncRNA from 1 species